GCCUCCCAGGGAGUGGGAAAGGUUGUUUUCGCCCUCCGCAGGUGCCUAGAGAGGAUCUGGAGCCAGCUAAAGAGACAGAGAAAAAGCCAAAGAACAAGAAGGGGAAUAAUGUCAAAUGGCUCACAGAAGAUUUCUUAAUUUCGGGUCCGGCCACCUUUCACUGCAACAUCUGCAAAAUGGCUAAGGCCUUUGGUGAGCAUCACAUACACCCCCCCUCCACACUCUCCGCAGAUCACAGACCUGAUCUUGAAAGCCCUCCAAGCUCUCGUGAACGAAGACAGGACAUUUGUCAGUCUGAAGGAUUGCUGCUGAACUCUUUUUCUGGAGGAAUGUGGGAUUGACAUGGAAGUAGCAAGAAAGUGCAGGGUUUGGAGCAAAAGGAAUAGGAGGUUUUGUAGAAAACAAAGAUGAGAAUGGAGCAAGCAAGAAGGGGUCCAGCAGUGUCUUUCCAAAUCCAGAACAAAUCAACCUCUUGGGCAAUGCCAUGCAAGCUCUCAAAAGCUUGAUCAAGUGUGCUGGCUAUCAGGAGACAUGCAAUGCUUUGGAGGUGUUGGGCUGUUAGGAAAUGCUAUUGACCCCUGACAGUCUUUUUGAAGUCAUUUUCCACCUGGUUGAGCUUCUGUAUCACUCUGAGGUUGGAAACAUCUUUGUGAUGCAAGGCAUUCUAAAUGAUCUCCACAAAUGGAUGAUACAACCGUACCCUCCGAUUUUCCAUUCGAGGUCUGGGUUACCUUCUGCAGAACCCAUUCAAGAUGAAGUUUUUAAAGCCGUUUUUAAUUCCUUCGAUAAACUGUGCUAGUCAAGUAGACAAGACUGGGGUGAAAGAAUCGCUGAGGACACUUCAGUUCAUGUUCUGACAGCUGGAUGAGGAGAAAUAUGGAUACAAGACAGUCAAACUUCUUCCGUUGUUCUUGAAAUAUUUUCAUGAUGAAGACCCUGAACUGCAACAUGUGGCCAUGAACAUUUUUGGGAUGAUAUUGAAAAGGGUGAAGGAGCUUCACAAAAGUUAUUUUAAAGAAAGCAUCCCGCAGAGCCUUGUUCCACUAAUAAUUCUGCUGGCAGAUGGACGGAGCAAAGAAGUGAGCUGAACGACUGGAAAAGGAGCCUGCGAAGAAGUUUUACGCUGCAUUUUUUGCCGAGUUACGUUUUUCACAAAUAGCUAACUAUGGAGAAAGUUGAGGGAUGAUUGGCCUGGCGAUGCAAUGCUGAUGACUACUUAUUUCCCUUGAAAAUAGGAGUGCGAAAUCCAAAGUGAGGCCAGCGUCCAGGAAAUCAGAGAGGCAGUCUGAAGGCAUAUUCCAGUUGAUACACAUGGACUUGGUAGGUCCAUUGAAACCCUCCAUUGGUCAAAAAAGAAGAGGAGCUGAAGCUUUGCCUGAAGUUUCUAAGUGAUCCACGUUCCAAUAUCAGGCAGCCCUCUUUGCAAGCCUCGCAGCUGCUCUUUACUCUCCCUGCGCUGCUCGCGAAUGACAGUGGGGGGA